rnacentral:rRNA from 1 species
AUUGAACGCUGGCGGCAGGCCUAACACAUGCAAGUCGAACGAGUGGCGGACGGGUGAGUAAUGUCUUGGAAACUGCCUGAUGGAGGGGGAUAACUACUGGAAACGGUAGCUAAUACCGCAUACCAUCAUAUCGGGCCAGAUUGGAUUAGCUAGUUGGUGGGGUAACGGCUGACCGAGGCGACGAUCCCUAGCUGGUCUGAGAGGAUGACCAGCCACACUGGAACUGAGACACGGUCCAGACUCCUACGGGAGGCAGCAGUGGGGAAUAUUGGGCAAUGGGCGAAAGCCUGAUGCAGCCAUGCCGCGUGUAUGAAGAAGGCCUUCGGGUUGUAAAGUACUUUCAGCGGGGAGGCGUUACCCGAAGAAGAAGCACCGGCUAACUCCGUGCCAGCCGCCGCGGUAAUUC